CCAUUUUAUUUUGCCUGUUUUUUUGUAGCUUUACUCCAUGAUCCUCCAUAAGGGAAAGUAUUGAUAUGAAAAUAAGAUCAAAAGACAUAUUCUACUUCUGGAACCCUUGAGUAAACAGUGCUUUGGAGUGCUACCGAACUGAGCCUAUGUCCACUCACCCCACCAAACAACAAAGCCAAUCUACUGAACCAGGUGGUGGUAAAGGAGACCUGCAUUGGGGUAUGAUGGACAAUCCACAGUAUUCAUCUAUCACAGUCACGUUUUCCAAGAGAUGGACAAUGUCCAAAAACUGCUUAGAUGGUUAA
rnacentral:lncRNA from 1 species